UGUGAUACAGCCUGGAAUCGAACUAGGGACUUUAGUGACGCCGCUUGUCCUGAGAUGCAGUGCCUUAGACCGCUGCGCCCCUCGGGGGCAUUACAUCAAAUGUGAAAUUAUCUGGUAUUAGGAACAUGAUCAAGUUGCUGAUCACAUGAAUGUAGCUUGAAUAAUCUUCAUCAAAGAAACCAAAAAUGAAAUGUCUAUUGUACCAGCAAUUUUUGUUGACACAGCGUCAACUGCAUCCCCAUGCGGCUUUGUACAGCGGCUCUGUUCCCACAAGAGCUGAGCAGCAGCGAGACGACUCACUUGCAUAGCAUCAGUCAGCCUAGGAACAAGGACAAGCUGAGCUGCUGCGCUGGUCUGACGAAGCAGCAACAUAAAUAAAUUUGAGCCACAUAAAGGGCGGUCAAUCCGCGAUAUGGUUGUCGGAGCAUGGAAGCUCCAGAAGACGUGUCGGUCCGUGACCAUCUUUCCCACGACCGAGUCAGAGAGACCAUAAUCUGUGUCCUGCUUUUCAUCUGUCUCUACAUCAUCUCCUAUCGUGUGAGUCUGUGAGGCCAAAAGUCAGGGGAGUGGAGGUCAGGUCACGUCACAGGCUGCAAUUUCUGCUGGGUUUCUGCAGCUCAGUACUCUACUGAUUAACUGUAAAAGUAAUUGAUUAUACGAUGACAGCGAAGAUGCAAUAGUCAACAAAAUUGCGCUGUGGCUCUGUACUUUCACUCUCUCUGUCUCUGUGGGCGCUGUUCUACUCCCACAUCUCUCCAUCUUCUCCAACGAGGUCCUGCUCUCCUUCCCACACAACUACUACAUGCAGUGGCUUAACAGAUCUCUUAUACACGGACUAUGGAAUCUAGUCUUCCUCUUCUCCAACCUCUCCUUGUUCUUCCUCCUGCCCUUUGCCUACUUCUUCACUGAGUCUGAGGGCUUCGCUGGAUCCAAAAAUGUACCUGCUUCAGUGACAGAGAAGACUGGUUAGAAGAUGUGCUUGAGCCAAAUCCCCUGAGUAUUGUUGCCAUGGCAUGAUGAUUGGGAUGAGUUGGCUAAAGCACAUACAUAUCUGGAACAAGGUUAGUGAUAAGGCAUCAUGUACAGUAAAUGUAAAUAAGAUGUGGUAUAAUGUUUCUAUACUCUCUGUACACUGGGUGUGAUGGCUCGUCUGUAUGAGACAGCAGUAGUCCUCUUCCUCCUGACCCUGCUGAUACUGGGAAUGGUGUGGGUGGCAUCAGCCAUACUUCAUGAUAAUAUGGCCAAGUCUUUACGUAUGUCUCUGGAAUUAUCACACAUGUUCAGCAUCACAGGAAGCCUACUGGUCCAACCAAAGGGCUGCAUAUAUUGCUAUUGACUGUGUCCCGCUCCACCAUCCCACUCAGGCUCCUAUUGGCUAAUGGACUCACAAAGAUUCAGUGACACUUGAACAAGCUAAUGACCUGGGCUUACCAAAGUAAGCUUGCCAAAGAGCAGUGUCUCCAAAUAUGUAUCUGUAGUAAAUUCUCUUUGAAAGAGAGAAGGGGAUUGACCUGUUUGCUGAUGGAUGACUGGUGAUCCUGUUACUACUAAAAUGAGAAGAGGAGGAAACUCUGGACUUGGACCUCAGACAUGAUUAUACUUCAGAGUAUAGGUACAGGACAGGUAUUGCACCAAGGGGACCAAUGCCAGUCUCCUCUUCUGUCAGGUCUAUAAUGGGAAAUAAAUUAUAGUGAGAAAUAAAUUGAAAAAAAGAAAAAAAGGGGAGGAAGACAAUGGUGAAGGAAACAAAAUGAAUAGAAAGGGAGCACGAAUAGACAUGUAUCAUAUAUAGAGUAUAGACAUGUAUAGUAUAUAGAGUGUAUAGUAUAUAGAGUAUAGACAUGUAUAGUACAUAGAGUAUAGACAUGUAUCUUAUAUAAAGUAUAGACAUGUAUAGUACAUAGAGUAUAGAGAUGGUUGUCAUCUAGUCUCGAGGUCUUUCCCAAUACAUUAACUUUUCAUCGACAUCCAUGGUGACUUUUGCUAAAAUGUCUGCCAAUCUCAAAACAUCUUGAUCCUUGACUGGAAAGAACUCCACUGUCACGCCCUGGUUUCACCUGUUCUUGUGAUUGUCUCCACCUCCUCCAGGUGUCACUUAUUUCCCCCAGUGUAUUUAUCCCUGUGUUUCCUGUCUCUCUGUGCCAGUUCGUCUUGUAUGUUUUCAAGUCAACCAGCGUGAUUUCCUGUGCUCCUGUUUUCUAUUCUCUUUUUCUAGUCUCCCCGGUUAUGACCCUUGCCUGUUUUUUCUGGACUCUGUACCCGCCUUCCUGACCCUUCUGUCUGCCCUGACAUCAAGCCUGUCUGCCACUCUUUACCUAUUGGACUCAGAAUCUGGUUUUGACCUUUUGCCUGUCCACAACCAUUCUCUUGCCAACUCCUUUUGGAUUAUAAAUAAACUACAAAGACUCUAACCGUCUGCCUCCUGUGUCUGCAUCUGGGCCUCGCCUUGUGCCCUUAUAUCCACAAGAACUUCAGCUCUGUGUACUUCUCUAGAUAUCGCUGUCUUUUCAUCUCUCCUUUUUGCCUAUUGCGCUCUUGUACUUAUUACCUUGUGUAUUAUUCAAAAGAUUUAUUCUGCUGUCAUCUUGUGAACAUAAUUUCCCUUCUUUCUGUUGUCCUUUAAUGGAAUGUUUAGGAAAGAAGCAGAUGUCUGCAUGGGGUCAAAGAAUUAGAGUAAAUCAGUUAACAUUAAUUAAAGUACAUUAACUCUACUUCAAUGCAUAUGGCCAAUUGUACUAUAUUACUCUUUUUAGUAUAUCAUUCUCAUUUACAUAUUUGAAUCAAAACCUUAUUUAAUAAGGACAUUUUAUUGUUGGAUUGAAAAGUUGGACAACAGACUUUUAUGAAGAGAACAGCAACAAACACUGGAAACAAUGGUCUGGAACUUAAGACCACGUUAAACUGUGAUCUGUGUGUUUGAGAAAGACUGUUUGUGUGCGUGUGUGGAUCUGUCUGCCAGUGUGCAUUCAUUUUUUUGCGCAGCGUGUUGUGUACAUGCAUGGAGAUUUUUCUCCAAUAUUUUUUCCAAGUUCCUUUUAUUUUGUAAAUUACGUUUUUCAAUUAUGAGUUUGUGUCCAUAGAUUUAUGUUGACCUCAAGUGAAUGUUCAUAUGUUGUUGUCUCACAGGGGUAAAAACACUCCUCAACCUCUCCUGAAUCAUACAAAUGUCCAAAUGGGUUGUCAUAUCACAAUGCCAGAACAGUCAGCUACUACAUGUUCAAUUAUCUGUAUGUCCUGUUAAACUGUAUUCUUUACGAUGAUGUAUGAUUGUUAGCUAGCUAUAAAAGUGAACUCUGGUUAAAAAUAUAUGAAGAUUGUUUAAAACUGUGAAUAUCUAAACUGAAGAGAGUUUUGUAAGGACUCCUCUACUGGAACAAUACAUGUUUUUUUUCAGUUUGUUUCUUACACCGUUGCUGCUUGUUUUAAUUUGAGCAUAGCAUACCCACUGAGAAAAUAUAUUGAUUUGGCAACCCUGUUUCACUCCAAUCUGUAAGUUUGCCUGAAGUUUUUAGAGCCUCAAAAGUAGGCUAGUCUUUAUAUACAAAUCCCUUCUCCCACACCAUCUGUUAUGUGUCUAGUACCAAAUGGUAUGGUAAAGAUAAGUCUGUCAUCAUUUUAAAUCGUUUCUAUCUUCUUCAAUUGUGUAAUUAAGGGGCUGCUGGGGCUACACAAAGAUGGCAUAAGUCUACUCAACCUAACUUGCUUAACUUUUUAAGCAGCUAUUUAACAUAUUUUGAUUUUGUUGUGGAGUGAUCACUUUCCACAUAACAAGGAUCACUGUACACAUUCAUGGUUGAAUAGGGCCUGGGCCAUAAAAUAAGCAUAGGCCUAUUUAAAACUGAUAAAAGGUUCUCUGUGUGGUCCUCUGUAGCUGAAGCUCUGAGCUGUCCGAUCAGGUCCAUUGUCUACUUGCUUGCUCUGUAGCUCAAUUGGUACUACUGGCGCUUGCAACGCCAGGACACUGGAUUAGAUUCCAGUACUUGACUUGGGCGGAAGCUCACCGGAGCUGAGUAGCGGCACCUCAAAUAUUCUCCUGCUUAAACUCCUGUUCCUGUUAUAGAAUAUUAGCUCAAACGUAUUGUGGAGCUCCUGCACCUAAAUAUAAACAGUACCAACACCCAAAAUGAGUACCGGCGCCUAUUUCAGUCCAAGUCAAGUAUUGGGGACCAUCCAUACUUAGAAUGUAUGCACGCGUGAAUGUAAAUCGUUUUUGGUAAAAGCGUCUGCUAAAUGGCACAUAAUUAUUAUUUAUAAAAAAAUACAUGUUUCUGUAAAAGGAUGUAUAUGUUAAUAUUGUACGGUCAUUGUCAAUUUAAUAAUAAAAACUGCUGAAAGUGUUUUGCUAUUUGAAUGUGUAUUUCUCUCACACGCGUUUGCAUAUAACUAAAUCAGGGUGAGAGUGACCUCUGCUGUACAAAAUAGGGCACCCUCAUGUCAAGCUCUGACGUGAGGGUAUCAAGCGCAUGAAGCGAGAUGGUGGAUGGUGGUUGGAAGAGCGCGCUUGUUUGAAAUGGAAAAGCGUUGCGGUAGCUUUUUAUAAAGAACAUCAAGAAGAAGCAGCUGCUUUAUAAAUGGGAUGCACUGUUGAGCGCAACAUCCCGAGGGGUUCGUGCUGAUUGUACGGAGAUUGUGACAGCCGCUUAAAUGACUUCCCUUGCGAAGGGCAGAAGUUCUCAUAUGCUGAGGCAGUGAAGAAAGUAGAGGACACAUCAAGACAG